CCUGUGGUCCUGUAGGUGAUGUGAAUGAAAAGUCUGAAGUUUCACUUCCCUUUGACUGUUCUGAUCACGGAUCGCCGCCUUUGGAGAGGAGUCAUGGAUUUCUCGAUGGCAUUCAAGAUCCACUUUCUCGGAUUUUUCUGUUUCUUGGCGAUUUUCUCUGUUCUUUCCGUGUUCCGACGAAACUUCACCGCUCAAGUCCCUUUGGAGUACUUUGUUUAUGGAAAAACCUUUGGUGCGGAGCAGAUGUUCCUAAGUGAUCUUCGCAAGUGUUCGGUGAAUAUGUUGCCUCGGCCUGUACAGGAGGAAAGUGUUUCUUCUCUGCCACUCUUGGUCUUCUGUGUGAACGCGACACGAGUUGGAACCGACACCACAGCUGCACUCGCAAAGUGUGAGAUGGUUUGUGGAAGAAGAUCGGUCAUCAUGGUGGUGAUGAAUCAUGUUCCGAGUUGUGCCACGUACAAGAACCCUCAUAGCUACGCAAAUGUCCAACAACAGAACGUAUUGGCCACAUAUGACUGUUUCUUCUCUGAAAGGAAAGGAUUGCACAGGUGUGAAGAGAACAACAAGGUGGUGAGCCAAGUGAGGGAUUUAAUCAAAGGGUUGCUGGCGAUCGUUUGUCUACUCUUCGUGAAGUACACCUUGGGAUGUUCAACAUCUAUCAACUAAUGCCAGCAGAUGGAAGGCCCAAUUUAACGUCCAUCCAAUGGAGGGCACACAGUGAUGAAUGGCCCUGCAUGUGAUACAACAGGGUGACAGUUUAUAGCUGGUUCGGGAUUUGAAUCCAGACAAGACAACACGGAG
rnacentral:lncRNA from 1 species